CGUUGCCGACAAGCCCAGCCGCCGCCCAGUUGUGUCGCCGCCAUGAAGACCUCGCCGACGUCUUCCCCUUCGCAGAUCGUCACCGUCUUUGGAGCAGAAAGCGAAAGAGAUCUCACGGUGGAGGAAACAGGAAGGCACCGCCGUGCAGCGAGAAGCUACCGCCGUCGUUGCGCGCUCCGUCACCGCUACUGCUGGGGCUGCGCCGCCGUGACUGAGCUUCUGCCACCCGAAACCCACCGCCACUGCCACCAGAAACCGCCACUGAGGCCUAAGUCAGUUUGUCACCGCUACUGCAGAACCAUCAGAGCUUCCGGCCGUUAUUAGAGCUGCUGUCUGGUCAAUUUUGAAGCUGCUACUGUGUCGUUCUAUUCUGUUUAUCAUGAUAUGUGGUUGUUGCUGUAACUUCUACGGUUGAUUGGAAAUUUCUGCGGUUGCUGCCGAUUAACAUGAGAAUAAGGAUUUAAUGGGUUUAAUUAUGCAACUUGCGACUAAUUGAGGUUGAAAACUCGAUACUCUGUUGACCCUACG